UCUCAUUCCAUACAUCGUCUG
rnacentral:miRNA from 2 species